AUGACUAUAUCCCCUGCAGGCGGAGAUGGACUGUCUACAUUAGGAGAGAUGAAGGUCCCGGGCAAAGAAGCAGAGCAAGAGGGGAUGGGAGCAGGACCGAGAAAGAGUCCUGCUGCUUCAAAGCCCAGGUUCUCUUCUUUCUCAGCUUCCCAGGAUCUUCAUCUUUCCCAGCAAGAUGAGGCAACAGAUUGCUGAUGAUGUUUAAGCUUGCUCCUGAAACCUACAGCUGAGAGUCUUGAGUAAUUUGCUGAGCAACUGAGUGGUUGGAGGGCCACCUACUGAUGUAAGCAACAGGAAGAGGAAGGGAAUCCUCUUCUGGAGGAAGUGUGAGCACUGUGAGUCCACCUCAUCCUGGAAGGGGGUAAGGACCUCCCGGACGUCUGGAAGUUUCACAAGCUGAUCAUGGUGUUUUACGUCAUCUUUGUCUACUCCAGCUGGACAUAAAACUCCCAUGUGGAAGCUAUACCAGGAGGAAAGAAACAUUCUUAUCACUAAAGAUGAGGAAUUGAGGCACACACAGACUGGGUUAAUCUAACUCGUAGCUUCCUAUGGCUGUUGUUCAGUUGCUAAGUCGUGUGCUGUUACUUUUCCAUGCCUGAGAGACCUAGCUCUGGUGCUUCUCAGGGCUCGUAAAGGCCUGGAACUGUCUUUGCUGAUUCUGUUCUGUUCUUCGUGGUGAAGAGGGGAGAAAACGUAUGUCCUGCUUUUAGGCAAAUAGUGGGAGAGCAGAAAGGUUUCCUUGUAGCUGCAUUGCUUUGGGCUGAAAAUAAUCCUUACUGCUAAGCACCAUAAUUGGGAGUAGAGGUUGCAAGUUCUGCUGUCUCUUGGCACAAACAGAAAAAUGACACUUUGAAAUGAAGCAGGACCCUGUGGUCCUUGCCCACCACCGCGUCCCCCACGUGCCUUUUGUUUGUGAAAAAACUUUAGCCAAAGAAGAAGUUUAACCAGAGAAGUGAGAAAAUGCAGAAACAAAGCAACACAGUCAACGAAGACCAAAUAAUAAAGUCAUCAAGCAUCUGCUGGAGGAAGGCAUGGCAACCCAUUCCAGUGUUCUUGCUGGGAAAAUCCCACAGACAGAGGAGCCUUGCAGGCUAUGGCACACGGAGUCACAAAGAGCUGGACACAACUGAAGUGACUGAGCGUCAAACAUAGUCAAGGACAUUUAGUUCCCUCUCAAGGGCUAUAGAUAAUAUUCUGUGCCAUGUCCCAUGAGCUCUUAGACUGAAACCACCACCAGGUGUAAGAAGUUAACUACAUGAUGACUGGACUGUAGCCAUGACAGAAGCUGCCAUAGUUCUGAGAUCUGGGCUCAAGAAAUGGGGACAAACCGAUCCUGGAACUGAAGAUUAACUCUACUUAAAACAACCAAGAUGAAGAUGGUCAGAUGACCAAUUUCAAGAUGACUGUCAGAGCUGACUGUGCUGUUUCUACAUGAAGCCUCCUCCAUCUGGCUAUAAAAGCUCUUGCCCACUGAUUGUCAUGGAUGGGGGGAGAGACGGCUUCUGGACAGGUGUCCACC
ensembl:lncRNA